GCUCUGUGCAAUUCAAUACAGUGUCACACUUGGUGCGUGCCAGCUUUGCGCCUGAAGUAAAAGAGCCAGGGAACUGUACCAGAUCAGACCUCCGAGGAAGAAGCUUUUGCUGGAAUCCAUGACCACACAGAAGGAAAAUGGAGACAGCAACCUUGUCUCCCAAAGGAUUUUGAUGACAUAGAAAUGCACAUGAAGGAUUGGGCUUUGCUUCAGUCUGCCUUGAUGGAGGAAAAUGUAUUAUAGAUAGGGACCUGAGGCACAGAGAGGUGUUGUGGGACUUCUCACCUUCUGGAAAUCCUGCUUGCACGGCUGCUUCAUUCCACUGUUUUCCCAGAUUGAUGCUUUACCUUACUGAUUUGCUGUGGAAGGAUUACCAUCGCAGCUUGUCCGCACUGCUCAAACGUGAAACACACACUGGUCUGUUGGAAUCAAGGUGUGUCAUCAACAUACUUGGGAAAAAUCUCAUCUGGGCUUCCAUGCUGAUGGGAAUUUCUCUGAGUCAGUGGGAAAUCUGCCUUGACUUCAUGGCAACUGGAUCAGGCUUUCUGCUACUAAAUAAAGAAACCUAUUUUCUAGGCUAUUAGUUCUGCAAAAUCUGUUCAAGCUUUUAAAAAUAGUAAUGCCAUCAAACUGACUUUUAUUUCUUCAUAUUCUGGCUUGAAAAUCUUACUGAGAAAAAAAACAUAAACUCAUUAAGGCUUAAUUUAAACCAAAAGUUUGGAGCCAAACGUCCAUGUUCAGUCUUUUCAUUCUGUAAACAGAGUCCUAUUAGACCAAGAUAACACAUAAGGGGUACAGAUGAUAAACAACGUGUUCAUAGGAUCUGUGUUCACUCUGAACAGAAGGGAAAAGAAGUGUGUAUUUACCAGUAAUUAACAUUUUAACUAGUGUUUGGUGAAAUUCAUAAUGUGAUUAAAAAAAUAAGAAUUCC
rnacentral:lncRNA from 1 species